UAAAGCCAUCCAAAGCAGAGUAACUGUGUUUUGUGUCCAAGUUGAUACCUGUAGAGAGGAGGAGAGAGAGUGGGUAACACGAGGAGAGACCGAGGAAACCUGUACUUACGCCGCUGCCUGUGGAGAAAGAGAAAGCGAGUGAGCACCCAAGGAACGAACUGUGUGAACCAGUAUUUACUGUGAGCUGCAAUCAGCGAAGAGGUGAGAGCAAUACCAAGCCGAAUUAACUGUGCCUUUGCGUCCCAGCCGUUGCCUGUGGAGGAAGAGAAAGAGAGUGAGCACCCCGAGAACGAACUGUGUGAACCAGUACUUACCGUGAGUUGUAUUCAGCGAAGAGGAGGAAGAAGGAGGGCGCUACGGAUACCUAAGACUCUGGCCGGAUCCCCGUGGCCCCCUUGCUCCCUGACCUCUUCCCGGCCAUAGCCCAUCUGGAGGGCCGAGUCAGAGUUUAGUUUUAAUUGCCCUUUCCCUAUUCCCCAAGCUAUUUUUAAAUAUUUAAAUAAAGAUUGUUUUAUCACUUACUUGUUCUCGUGUUGUUUGGCCAUUGGGUUGGCUUUGGGGACCUCCUCGAGGUGGAAGUUGAAAAGGGGUGUGGCUUAGUCAAAGCAUAGCCGCCCCUGGGUGUGACAUUUGCAACCUGUGGAGUGCAUUGUCGAAGGACUAACAGAUGAGCAAACUGCAUACACACAUACAUAGACUUAAGAAGAUGCACACAACACUAGUGCAAAGAACAAUGGAUUAAGUUAUUAAGAGUUUAAGUAUUUAAAAGUUGCCUAAGAAGAGCGGUUGUAACGGUUCCCAGAGAAUUUUCAUUGUAAGGUUGUGCAUUUGCAACGUGUGUGUGAUAAGCGUUUAAUUUGUUUGCACACAUUUACUUUAAGAUUGCAAUUUAUACAUUUAAAGGUUUUAUUGAAUUUUCUAGAUUUCUAAAUGAGAAGUGUAUUGUAAAUGAUAUUGAUUUAUUUAUAUCAAUCUUUUCAAGGGUUUGAGAUGUUUAUAUUGAGUGUUUAAACAUAAUAUUUGAGUUGAAAGGUUAUCUUGAAC
rnacentral:lncRNA from 1 species